rnacentral:rRNA from 1 species
GUGCCAGCGCGGUAAGACAGAGGAUGCAAGCGUUAUCCGGAAUGAUUGGGCGUAAAGCGUCUGUAGGUGGCUUUUUAAGUCCGCCGUCAAAUCCCAGGGCUCAACCCUGGACAGGCGGUGGAAACUACCAAGCUGGAGUACGGUAGGGGCAGAGGGAAUUUCCGGUGGAGCGGUGAAAUUCGUAGAUAUCGACAGGAACACCUGCGGCGAAAGCGGCCUUCUGGACGAACACUGACGCUGAGACACGAAAGCGUGGGGAGCAAACAGGG